rnacentral:rRNA from 1 species
ACUCUGGUAUUGAUUGGUGCUUGCAUCAUGAUUUACAUUUGAGUGAGUGGCGAACUGGUGAGUAACACGUGGGAAACCUGCCCAGAAGCGGGGGAUAACACCUGGAAACAGAUGCUAAUACCGCAUAACAACUUGGACCGCAUGGUCCGAGUUUGAAAGAUGGCUUCGGCUAUCACUUUUGGAUGGUCCCGCGGCGUAUUAGCUAGAUGGUGGGGUAACGGCUCACCAUGGCAAUGAUACGUAGCCGACCUGAGAGGGUAAUCGGCCACAUUGGGACUGAGACACGGCCCAAACUCCUACGGGAGGCAGCAGUAGGGAAUCUUCCACAAUGGACGAAAGUCUGAUGGAGCAACGCCGCGUGAGUGAAGAAGGGUUUCGGCUCGUAAAACUCUGUUGUUAAAGAAGAACAUAUCUGAGAGUAACUGUUCAGGUAUUGACGGUAUUUAACCAGAAAGCCACGGCUAACUACGUGCCAGCAGCCGCGGUAAUACGUAGGUGGCAAGCGUUGUCCGGAUUUAUUGGGCGUAAAGCGAGCGCAGGCGGUUUUUUAAGUCUGAUGUGAAAGCCUUCGGCUCAACCGAAGAAGUGCAUCGGAAACUGGGAAAACUUGAGUGCAGAAGAGGACAGUGGAACUCCAUGUGUAGCGGUGAAAUGCGUAGAUAUAUGGAAGAACACCAGUGGCGAAGGCGGCUGUCUGGUCUGUAACUGACGCUGAGGCUCGAAAGUAUGGGUAGCAAACAGGAUUAGAUACCCUGGUAGUCCAUACCGUAAACGAUGAAUGCUAAGUGUUGGAGGGUUUCCGCCCCUUUCAGUGCUGCAGCUAACGCAUUAAGCAUUCCGCCUGGGGAGUACGGCCGCAAGGCUGAAACUCAAAGGAAUUGACGGGGGCCCGCACAAGCGGUGGAGCAUGUGGUUUAAUUCGAAGCUACGCGAAGAACCUUACCAGGUCUUGACAUACUAUGCAAAUCUAAGAGAUUAGACGUUCCCUUCGGGGACAUGGAUACAGGUGGUGCAUGGUUGUCGUCAGCUCGUGUCGUGAGAUGUUGGGUUAAGUCCCGCAACGAGCGCAACCCUUAUUAUCAGUUGCCAGCAUUAAGUUGGGCACUCUGGUGAGACUGCCGGUGACAAACCGGAGGAAGGUGGGGAUGACGUCAAAUCAUCAUGCCCCUUAUGACCUGGGCUACACACGUGCUACAAUGGAUGGUACAACGAGUUGCGAACUCGCGAGAGUAAGCUAAUCUCUUAAAGCCAUUCUCAGUUCGGAUUGUAGGCUGCAACUCGCCUACAUGAAGUCGGAAUCGCUAGUAAUCGCGGAUCAGCAUGCCGCGGUGAAUACGUUCCCGGGCCUUGUACACACCGCCCGUCACACCAUGAGAGUUUGUAACACCCAAAGUCGGUGGGGUAACCUUUUA